rnacentral:rRNA from 1 species
UUAAAUUGAGAGUUUGAUCCUGGCUCAGGACGAACGCUGGCGGCGUGCCUAACACAUGCAAGUCGAGCGAUGAAACCCUUCGGGGUGGAUUAGCGGCGGACGGGUGAGUAACACGUGGGUAACCUGCCUCAAAGAGGGGAAUAGCCUCCCGAAAGGGAGAUUAAUACCGCAUAAUAUGUUUUGGUCGCAUGAUCGAAACAUCAAAGGAUUUUUCUUCGGAGAAUUCCACUUUGAGAUGGACCCGCGGCGCAUUAGCUAGUUGGUGAGGUAACGGCCCACCAAGGCAACGAUGCGUAGCCGACCUGAGAGGGUGAUCGGCCACAUUGGAACUGAGACACGGUCCAGACUCCUACGGGAGGCAGCAGUGGGGAAUAUUGCGCAAUGGGGGAAACCCUGACGCAGCAACGCCGCGUGAAUGAUGAAGGCCUUCGGGUUGUAAAGUUCUGUCUUCUGGGACGAUAAUGACG